GAUAUACUUACUCUGUCCAACAAAGGAUGUCCCAAUUUUGACUAAAUUUAAAUGCAUCUAUAUACUAAGUCAUGUCUAGCUACAUUCAAAUUUUGACAAACUUGAGACAUCUUUUGUUGGACGGAGGGAGUACUAU
rfam:Brachypodium distachyon strain Bd21 chromosome 4, whole genome shotgun sequence.